UGGGGAAUUUUGCGCAAUGGGCGAAAGCCUGACGCAGCGACGCCGCGUGGGUGAUGAAGGCCUUCGGGUUGUAAAGCCCUGUGGGGAGGGAAGAAUAAGGGGCGGCUAAUACCCGCACCGAUGACGGUACCUCCUUAGCAAGCACCGGCUAACUCUGUGCCAGCAGCCGCGGUAAGACAGAGGGUGCGAACGUUGUUCGGAAUUACUGGGCGUAAAGCGCGUGUAGGCGGUCUAGCAAGUCGGAUGUGAAAGCCCUUGGCUCAACUGAGGAAGUGCAUUCGAAACUGCGAGACUUGAGUCGCGGAGAGGAGGGUGGAAUUAUCGGUGUAGAGGUGAAAUUCGUAGAUAUCGAGAGGAACACCGGUGGCGAAGGCGGCCAUCUGGACGGUGACUGACGCUGAGACGCGAAAGCAUGGGGAGCAAACAG
rnacentral:rRNA from 1 species